rnacentral:rRNA from 1 species
CCCUUAGAUGUCCUGGGCUGCACGCGCGCUACACUGAUGUGUCCAGUAAGCACCUAACCUCUUCCGAAAGGAACGGGUAACCUUUGCAAAGCACAUCGUGAUGGGGAUAGAUUAUUGCAAUUAUUAGUCUUGAACGAGGAAUUCCUAGUAAGCACAAGUCAUCAGCUUGUGUUGAUUACGUCCCUGCCCUUUGUACACACCGCCCGUCGCUCCUACCGAUUGAAUGUUCCGGUGAGCUCUUCGGACUGCGCGGUCUGCAGUUUCUGCGUUCCGUGCGGAAAGUUGCGCAAACCUUAACAUUUAGAGGGAGGAGAAGUCGUAACA